rnacentral:rRNA from 1 species
UACAGAGGGGGCAAGCGUUAUUCGGAAUUAUUGGGCGUAAAGGGCGCGUAGGCGGCCUGGCAAGUGGAAGGUGAAAUCCCUCGGCUUAACCGAGGAACUGCCCCUCCAAACUGCUAGGCUUGAGUCCGGGAGAGGUGAGUGGAAUUCCCAGUGUAGCGGUGAAAUGCGUAGAUAUUGGGAGGAACACCAGUGGCGAAGGCGGCUCACUGGACCGGAACUGACGCUGAGGCGCGAAAGCGUGGGGAGCAAACGGG